CCAAGACUCUGGACCAGGGCUGUAUUCCCAACCUUAUAUCUCCUCAUUUAAACCUGUGUUAUGCUUAAACUGUAUACCUAUUUUAUAAUUGUUUGGCAUCCUAUCA